rnacentral:rRNA from 1 species
AUGGUGAAGUUUACAGCAGAGGAGCUCCGCGCAAUUAUGGACAAGAGGGACAACAUCCGCAACAUGUCUGUUACUGCUCAUGCGGACCAUGGCAAGUCUACGCUUACGAAUACGCUUGUAGAAGCUGCUCGGACUAUUGCCGAGGAAGUUGCUAGCGAUGUUCGCAUGACCGGUGCCCCUGCAGACAAGGCCGAGGGCGAGAAGGUUGUUGCUUCAUCACCUCCUUAG